rnacentral:rRNA from 1 species
UACGAAGGGGGCUAGCGUUGCUCGGAAUAACUGGGCGUAAAGAGCGUCGUUAGGCGGUUUGUCGCGUCUGCUGUGAAAACUGGGAGGCUCAACCUCCAGCCUGCAGUGGGUACGGGCAGACUAGAGUGCGGUAGGGGAGAUUGGAAUUCCUGGUGUAGCGGUGAAAUGCGCAGAUAUCGGGAGGAACACCGGGUGGCGAAGGCGGUUCUCUGGGCCUGACCUGACGCUGGAGGCACGGAAGGCCAGGGGAGCAAACGGG